CGUUUAGUUAUGUUUUUAAUCUUCAAAUUGUUUCAAUAUUAUUCAGUGUUACUCAUCAAACCAUUACUAAAAUAUGUUUUUAUGUCCUAAUUGAUUUCUUUAUACAUAUAUUUUAUGAUAAUAGUAGAGAUAUGCAAGGGCGGACAGCGAAUGAGUGAAAUUUUAGCUGAUGUUGAAUGAUUAGCUACCAAUGCAAUCGUGUAAUUAAACACACAGUAUA
rnacentral:lncRNA from 1 species